GGCCUGAUGGUCUAGUAGCAUGAUUCUCGCUUUGGGU
rnacentral:tRNA from 1 species